rnacentral:rRNA from 1 species
UACAGAGGGUGCAAGCGUUGCUCGGAUUUACUGGGCGUAAAGCGUACGCAGACGGUGAGGUAGGUCGGAUGUGAAAGCCCCGGGCUCAACCCGGGAACUGCAUCCGAAACCACCUCGCUAGAGUAUGGGAGAGGGAAGCGGAAUUCCUGGUGUAGAGGUGAAAUUCGUAGAUAUCAGGAGGAACACCGGUGGCGAAGGCGGCGAUCUGGGUCGAUACUGACGCUGAGGUGCGAAAGCGUGGGGAGCAAACAGG